CAGUAGUUCGAAAGAUAUAUUUAAAAAUAAAAGAUAAAAAUCAAAAAAAAUUAAUUAUCUAUUAACGUGGAUUUGGACGACAAUAGGUUUUUAGUUUGUGAUGUUUCAUGUGAUGAUCAUUUUCAUGUUCAUCGUCUUUGAAUUGACAUGAGGAUAUCUAUGGAAAAGUAACUAAUCUGAAAGUAAGCCAACAUAUCGUUUGUCCUUUGUGUACUAAAGAAAAGAUUUUCUUUUCGCAUCGUGAGGAAGUAUUACAUCAAUUAAAAAAUGUUAGGAAGUUGAUUACUUGUCAUGGAAAAGUAUACCAAUGGAAAUUAUUUGUUAAAGAAGUAUAAUUCUAAGGGUUUUAAGAAUAAAUUGGUUGAACCCAAAAUCUGGAGGAAGUACCUAUAUCCAUACACAGAAUAUGCCCAUUAAGAAUACUAGUCCAAAUUUGCUUUAAUGGAACGAUUAGGGCCCGAUAUAUUUGAAACUCAUGUUGGACAUAGUAUUGAGUUGGGUAGAAUAUUAUUCUACGUUAAGUGAGGAUAUCAGAUACCUAUUAUUGUACUGUAUUUUAAUAUAUACAUUAGAAUUGUUGGUUUUUU
rnacentral:lncRNA from 1 species